ACAAUUGUCGCGACGUUAGCACCGACAGCGGGCCAGGUCAUAAAUACAGAGGUUAAAUUGUCACUGCUGUGUGCCAAACACACCAUUGUGUUCACCUUUUGUAAGGACUUCAACAAGUGUGUAGCUGAGAUGUUCCCAGACUCUGCUAUCGCAUGAAAAUAUUCACCUGGAAAAACCAAGGCUACUCAAAUCAUCAAAGGUAAGUUCAGUCAAAUCAAAUAUGAGUAUUGUGUAUGUGUAUGCAUAUUGUAGGAUAAUUGUUAGCUAUUGUUAAUUUCUGGGCGCUCACUCAACAGGUGCCAUAGCAUCAUAGCCGGAUGAUGUGUUGGCCAAAACAUACCAAUGUCAGCCAUUUUCACUGAUGUGCGAUGAAUCGAACAACAGCAAAACAGACAAAGAAUUUGUCAUUCUGACUAGACUCUAUGAUGAGGCCACUCUGAUGGUGGUUACAAAGUUAUGGAGAUGGCUAUAUGCAACGUUGGAAAUGCAGAAAAUCUGUAUGAAAAACUGAGUGAAGCACUAAGGUAGAGAAACUGCACUGUGUUGUUGAUGUGUGUAGGAUUUGCAUUUAAUUAUAAGCUCACGUUUUGUCCGACGUUUUGUGGCAUUUCCCCCCCGUUUUCUAUAGAAAAAGAAGCAUCCCAUGGGAGAACCUAAUAGCCUUUAAUUCUGAUAAUGUAAGCGUGAGCAGUGAAGACCAGCUAGCCCCACAUACAGGACCUUGGCUGCACAGCUGGCCACUGGCUGUGGGAUCAGAGCAAUGCAGGGACUGGUGGAAGAUAUCCUGUUGGGGAUAUAUUCCCACUUUGAUAAAAGGUAAGUGCAGAUAAAUGAAAUAGGCCUGCUAUUUUUCUAGGCCUGCAAUUGAUAUAAAAAAAAAAUUCUAUCUUUCAGUGCAAAAAGAUGUGAAAUCUACAAAGAGUUUGUAGAUUUCACUGAUUCAGACUACCAGAAGCUCCUCAGGUACUGCAGCACAAGAUGAGUCUGUUAACCAGCAUCCAGCGUGUUGAACCAGUGGGAGGCUCUACAGGUAAGGAUGGUAACUCCUGCAGAUAUAUACAUAGUUUACUGUGACAUAUUUCCAUUUUAAUCAUGAAUUGCUACUCUGUGUCACUAUGUACUGCAGGCCUACUUUAACAGUCAUUAGGAGGUGGAGAGGAGUGCCAAAGUGCAGAAUUUGGCAGGCCAUCUGUGUGACCCAAUUAUGAAGACCUACUUCAUGCCCUCAAGCAUUUAUCUGAAUGUAAUAUCGCCUUCCAGCCAGGGCCAUCGUGAGUGUACCUCUCAGGGAGGUGGAGUAAGGCGAAGGACAUCAGGUGGCUGAUGAAGAGCUCUUCAUCGGAGCAGACACAAAGGCUUUCAUGAAAAGCACAGAGCUCCCUUUGUCAGCUGACAAGAAAAUCGUUCAAACUGUGAGAGGAUUCUAUGAAGCUGUGCUUCAGAGGAUGUUCUCCACUUUUCCUCUUGACCAUCUACUCCUGAGGGACUUGAAAGUUCUGGAGCCUGCUUCUUGCCUCGACAUUACUCCAGGUACAGGUAGAUGGUAGAGUCAGUUCCACAUUGAUAGAUUGAAUGAAUUAAUGAGAUAUUGUGAGGUUUAGAUCUACUAAGUUCAGACAAACAUUUGUUUUACUUUACAGUGGAAAGGCUAAGGGCCCUGUUCCCUCAGUUGAGCUUAAGUGAGGAUAGGCUGAGCGAGGAACUCAUUGACUACCAGGUGACAGAUAGCAAGCAACUUCCACAAGAAGACAAAACUGACAGAUUCUGGGGCCUGGUAGGGAUGGAUGUGAGGUUCAGGAAGCUGCCAAGACUAAUGAAGGCUUUACUAUGCAUUCCCCACAGCACUGCCAGUUCUGACAGAGUGUUUAGUAUGUUGAGAAAGAUUAUCACAGAGAAUAGAAUGUCAUUAGACAACAGCAGUGUUUGUGCGUUGCUGUCAUGUAAAAUAAACCAAACUGACCCAGCCCACAAAUACCCCCUUCCAAAAAGGUCUUAAAUGAUGCAAAGUCUGCAACAAAUCUGUAUGUCGUUAGUGAAUGCCAGAGAGUCACAUGAGGAAAUGAGCAAUUAAAAGAAAAUGUUAAUGAAAAUUAAGUGUGACAUUUUUACUUAAAGAUAAGCAAUGCAUAAAUAAAUUGAAAAUAUGUCAAACAAAUCAAUGUGUUUCAAUUCCCUGUUGUGUUUUCAUUUAGGGUUAGGGUUCAUUUUAAUGUCAACAAAGGUAGGUCACAUCCUCAUCACCUAACUGUAGUUUUCAGUUGGUUGACAAUGGUUAUUUUAGAUUUUUUUUUGUGCACCAGUCUUAAAAUGUAAUGGAUACUGGGGCUUGAUUGGGGUAGUCGGAAGGCUUGCAGCGGAUGUUGUUUAAAUUUCCCUUAUUUUCAAAUCCAAAACUUGACAGGUAAGCCCUAGUGAAAUUUUAGUAUUGGAAAAGAAUUUAUAUGAUGUGUGGUAGAAUGAAAAAAAUUCAUACCUAAUUGUUUGCAUACAGUGCACUCAGAAUCAAAUAUGCAUGAUUUGAUUUGCUUCAAAGUGGAAACUUAAAUUUUUUUGUCACCCUAAACACAAGCAAUUUGGAUUAAAUCGUAAGUGGCUUGUACUUGGAUAGGUUUGGAUACUUGGAUAGUCCAACGGUCCCAAAGCGCUUUCCAUUACAAUCAGUCAUUCAUCCACUCACUCACACACACACACACACAC